rnacentral:misc_RNA from 1 species
UAUCUAUCUUUCUCUCAUGCUCAAUCCAUCACUUCCACGGUGGAUGAAGCUAAUACCAUGGACAAGAGAGUGAUCCCCGGUGGAGAAGAAGCGGAGGUGAGGAAAGGACCAUGGACUAUGGAGGAAGACCUCAUCCUCAUGAACUACAUAGCCAACCAUGGAGAGGGUGUCUGGAACACGCUAGCAAAAUCCGCAGGACUGAAGAGGACCGGGAAGAGCUGCCGGCUCCGUUGGCUGAAUUACCUCAGGCCUGAUGUCCGUCGGGGGAAUAUAACACCGGAGGAGCAGCUUCUUAUCAUGGAUCUUCACUCCAGAUGGGGAAAUAGAUGGUCGAAAAUCGCAAGGCAGCUACCAGGGAGGACAGACAAUGAAAUAAAGAACUACUGGAGAACACGAAUUCAGAAGAAAGUCAAGGGUGGAGAAUCAUCUGAAUGCCAUAAUUCCAUGCUUUCUGAUGAAGCUAGCACGAGCCAAGCGGGCGGAGUCGAAGUUAUGGGAGCACAACCGAGUUACCCUCCGCCGCAUACUACCAAUCCUGAGACAUUUGGAACUCCCUUUCCAACUGAAUCGAACGAUAAUUUCUGGGCGGACGAUGAGUUCUGGGCUAUGCAGUCUUUCAAUGGAGACUAAGAACUAAAGAAAUAAACCAUCAUCUUGCCAUUGCCAUGACGAUGAUGGGGUUGCUUGCUCUAAGAAUAUAAGUGAUGCUGCAAAUGUAUGGUGUACAAAUGUCUAGCAAUUAUUAUGCUUAUAAUGUAAUAUCAUGUAAUUGAACUUUAUUGCUUUUCAUGCUUGGUAUGGGUAUUAAGACGGCCC